UUGGUUCUUCAGAUGACAGUUUAUCAGAUGACUUCGGGUUUUAGAUGAAUUGUGGUUCCGAGUUCAAGCCGAAGCUUCGAUCCUGUGUUCCGAGACGCACAGCCUGCCUAUCUUGUCUGCAUCAUUUGCAUCAUAGCAUGUUUAUUUUCAAAAGAUACGCAAUGAAAAAGAAUUGAAAAAAAGAAAAAGAAUUGAAAAAAAGAAAAAGAAUUGAAAAAAAGAAAAAGAAA
rnacentral:lncRNA from 1 species